rnacentral:rRNA from 1 species
AGACUGGGAUAACUCCGGGAAACCGGGGCUAAUACCGGAUAAUAUUUUGAACUGCAUGGUUCGAAAUUGAAAGGCGGCUUCGGCUGUCACUUCUGGAUGGACCCGCGUCGCAUUAGCUAGUUGGUGAGGUAACGGCUCACCAAGGCAACGAUGCGUAGCCGACCUGAGAGGGUGAUCGGCCACACUGGGACUGAGACACGGCCCAGACUCCUACGGGAGGCAGCAGUAGGGAAUCUUCCGCAAUGGACGAAAGUCUGACGGAGCAACGCCGCGUGAGUGAUGAAGGCUUUCGGGUCGUAAAACUCUGUUGUUAGGGAAGAACAAGUGCUAGUUGAAUAAGCUGGCACCUUGACGGUACCUAACCAGAAAGCCACGGCUAACUACGUGCCAGCAGCCGCGGUAAUACGUAGGUGGCAAGCGUUAUCCGGAAUUAUUGGGCGUAAAGCGCGCGCAGGUGGUUUCUUAAGUCUGAUGUGAAAGCCCACGGCUCAMCCGUGGAGGGUCAUUGGAAACUGGGARACUUGAGUGCA